rnacentral:rRNA from 1 species
ACGCCGCGUGAGUGAUGAAGGCUUUCGGGUCGUAAAACUCUGUUGUUAGGGAAGAACAAGUGCUAGUUGAAUAAGCUGGCACCUUGACGGUACCUAACCAGAAAGCCACGGCUAACUACGUGCCAGCAGCCGCGGUAAUACGUAGGUGGCAAGCGUUAUCCGGAAUUAUUGGGCGUAAAGCGCGCGCAGGUGGUUUCUUAAGUCUGAUGUGAAAGCCCACGGCUCAACCGUGGAGGGUCAUUGGAAACUGGGAGACUUGAGUGCAGAAGAGGAAAGUGGAAUUCCAUGUGUAGCGGUGAAAUGCGUAGAGAUAUGGAGGAACACCAGUGGCGAAGGCGACUUUCUGGUCUGUAACUGACACUGAGGCGCGAAAGCGUGGGGAGCAAACAGGAUUAGAUACCCUGGUAGUCCACGCCGUAAACGAUGAGUGCUAAGUGUUAGAGGGUUUCCGCCCUUUAGUGCUGAAGUUAACGCAUUAAGCACUCCGCCUGGGGAGUACGGCCGCAAGGCUGAAACUCAAAGGAUUUGACGGGGA